GACGAACGCUGGCGGCGUGCCUAAUACAUGCAAGUUGAGCGAUGAAGCUUGGUGCUUGCACCAAUUUGAAGAGCAGCGAACGGGUGAGUAACGCGUGGGGAAUCUGCCUUUGAGCGGGGGACAACAUUUGGAAACGAAUGCUAAUACCGCAUAACAACUUUAAACAUAAGUUUUAAGUUUGAAAGAUGCAAUUGCAUCACUCAAAGAUGAUCCCGCGUUGUAUUAGCUAGUUGGUGAGGUAAAGGCUCACCAAGGCGAUGAUACAUAGCCGACUUGAGAGGGUGAUCGGCCAGAUUGGGACUGAGACACGGCACAAACGCCUACGGGAGGCAGCAGUAGGGAAUCUUCGGCAAUGGACGAAAGUCUGACCGAGCAACGCCGCGUGAGUGAAGAAGGUUUUCGGAUCGUAAAACUCGGUUGGUAGAGAAGAACGUUGGUGAGAGUGGAAAGCUCAUCAAGUGACGGUAACUACCCAGAAAGGGACGGCUAACUACGUG
rnacentral:rRNA from 1 species